AUUUUCUGAUAAAAAAAUCACAAUCAAUUCAUUUAAUUUCCAAGGAUGAAAAAAUCUCUUAUAUUUUCAUUUAAUGUUCUAACUUUUAUCAUCAUUCUUACACUAGUGGCAGGAGCGAUGGGGAAUAUAGGGCAAG